UAAUUUUAAAAUUAUUUGAUUUAUUUAAGUUGAGUUGUAGAUUUAAUAUUUUUUUAGAAAAAAUAAAAUAUGAUAGGGGAAAGUACUGUAAAGGAAAUUAGUCUAAUUUUUAAUUUUUAAAAUGUAUUUUUAGUACCUUUUGUAUUAGGGUUUAAAAAUAAAAGAAAAAGUUUUUUAUUUCCCGAAUUUUAGGGAUCUAUUUUUAUUUAGUUUAUUUAUUUCAAAAAACAAAUAAAGUAAAGGUAGAAAUGAAAUUUUAGUCGUACUAAAAAAUAUCUGGUUAUAAAAAUAAACUAAAUGUUUUUUCAUAAAUUUGUUUUUAUUUUUAAGGUUUAUGAAUUUUUAAUUUAUGGGAUAAGCUAUAAAUUUUAUUUAUAAAUUUGGCAAAAAAAUAAAUAAGGUUUAAAAUUUGCUGUUAUUUGUAAUAAAAUUUUAUUUUUAAAAAAAAAGUUUUAAGUUUUUAUGGGUUGUAAUUAAUUUUGGUUAAAAGUCUUUUUGUUAAAAUUAGUAAAAGUUUACUGUUUAAUUGAUUUUUGAGUUUUUUUGAGUUUGAUAUUUUAAUUUUAGGAAUUCAGCAAAAAAUUUUUGGCUGUUUAUCAAAAACAUUGUAUUUUGUGUGAAUAAAAUAUAAAGCCUGCUCACUGCAAAAAUUGUAAAUUGCUGUGGUAUUUUGACUAUACGAAGGUAUUGAAAUAAGGUUUUAAAUGGGCGCUAAGAGAAUGGUUUAACGAAAAUUUUCUUUCUUUUUUUAAAAAAUUGAAGUUAAUUUUUAAGUGAAAAGGCUUAGAUGUUUUUUUGGGACAAGAAGACCCUAUGAAUUUUUAAAAAAAAAUAAUAGUAUGUAAUUUGUUUAGAAAUUUAAUAUUAUUUUUUUUUUGGUUGGGGCGAUUGUUAAAGAUUAGGAAUCUUUAAUUUAGUUAAAUUGAUCCAUUAGUAGUGACUUUUUGAAAAAAAUACUCUAGGGAUAACAGCGUUAUAAUUUUGGAAAGUUCAUAUUGAUAAAAUUGAUUGCGACCUCGAUGUUGGAUUAGGAUACUAAAAUGGUGAAGAGGCCAUUUGGAGAAGUUUGCUCAACUUUUAAUUUCCUACAUGAUCUGAGUUCAAACCGGCGAGAGCCAGGUUGGUUUCUAUCUAAAAAAAGUUUUAUUUUAUUUUAGUACGAAAGGAAUAAGUAAGUAAGUUUAACUUUUUAUUUUUUGUUAGCAAAAA
rnacentral:rRNA from 1 species